rnacentral:rRNA from 1 species
CAGUCGACGGUUAAGCAUCUUCGGAUGUGUAUAAAGUGGCGAACGGCUGAGUAACACGUGGGCAACCUGCCAUUUGCACUGGGAUAGCCUCGGGAAACCGAGGUUAAUACCGGAUACUCCAUAUUUGUCGCAUGGCGAAUAUGGGAAAGCUCCGGCGGCAAAGGAUGGGCCCGCGGCCUGUUAGCUAGUUGGUGGGGUAGUGACCUACCAAGGCAAUGAUGGGUAGCCGGGUUGAGAGACCAACCGGCCAGAUUGGGACUGAGACACGGCCCAGACUCCUACGGGAGGCAGCAGUGGGGAAUCUUGCACAAUGGGCGAAAGCCUGAUGCAGCGACGCCGCGUGCGGGAUGAAGGCCUUCGGGUUGUAAACCGCUUUCAGCAGGGACGAGGCCGCAAGGUGACGGUACCUGCAGAAGAAGCCCCGGCUAACUACGUGCCAGCAGCCGCGGUAAUACGUAGGGGGCAAGCGUUAUCCGGAUUCAUUGGGCGUAAAGCGCGCGUAGGCGGUCUGUUAGGUCAGGAGUUAAAUCUGGGGGCUCAACCCCUAUCCGCUCCUGAUACCGGCAGGCUUGAGUCUGGUAGGGGAAGAUGGAAUUCCAAGUGUAGCGGUGAAAUGCGCAGAUAUUUGGAAGAACACCGGUGGCGAAGGCGGUCUUCUGGGCCAUGACUGACGCUGAGGCGCGAAAGCUAGGGGAGCGAACAGGAUUAGAUACCCUGGUAGUCCUAGCUGUAAACGAUGGACACUAGGUGUGGGGAGAUUAUACUUUCCGUGCCGCAGCUAACGCAUUAAGUGUCCCGCCUGGGGAGUACGGUCGCAAGACUAAAACUCAAAGGAAUUGACGGGGGCC